GACGGGGGGGGCAAGUGUUCUUCGGAAUGACUGGGCGUAAAGGGCACGUAGGCGGUGAAUCGGGUUGAAAGUGAAAGUCGCCAAAAACUGGCGGAAUGCUCUCGAAACCAGUGAACUUGGGUGAGACAGAGGAGAGUGGAAUUUCGUGUGUAGGGGUGAAAUCCGGAGAUAUACGAAGGAACACCAAAAGCGAAGGCAGCUCUCUGGGCCCAUACCGACGCUGAGGUACGAAAGCGUGGGGAGCAAACAGG
rnacentral:rRNA from 1 species